GUUCUAUACCUCAGGGUGGAACGGGUGACAGGUAUCUGGGCGCCUCCUGUCCUUUUGCAUCUUAAGUCUCUCACAUUUCAGAGACUCGAUAUACAUGAUUUCAACAGGAUCCAUGGUGAUUGGCUCAAACAUGCUGCAAUCGCACUUAUUGUCCACCACCACCAUGAAGAGAUUACUGCUGGGGAUCUGCUGAAUUACAAAGGACCUGCCAAUCACAGACAGAGACAUAACCCUCAGAAAUAAUCGCACUGAAGAGCGAUUCGACUGGAUGCAACAUUCAUUGCCAGCUGUCGAUCAAAAUGCAGAGACGGGAGGACACAUCAUUAUCCUCGAUUUAUCCUCUUCUACUUUUCUCUUUUACUCAAUCCAAGGUGCGUUGCAAUAACAUAAAACAUAUUGAAGGAGAUUGAACACUUGCUCAUUGCUUCAUGGCUCCCUUUUUACCGACUGGCCGGCUUGCCUCAGCAAGCAAAUCAGACGGAUCAUCUCUUUGUCAUCUUCUCUUUUUGUCUUUCUCCCUCGC